GUAUGGCCUGCCCGCUGACAUUUGGUGUUGAAGGGCCGCGGUAUUAUGACCGUGCAAAGGUAGCAUAAUCAUUAGUUCUUUAAUUGUGAUCUGGAAUGAAUGGCUUGACGAGGCACGGGCUGUCUUAGUGUUGAAUGUUUUAUUGAAUUUGGUCUUUGAGUUAAAAUUCUUAGAUGUUUUUGUGGGACGAGAAGACCCUAUAGAGUUUGACAUUUGGUUUAUUUACUUGUUUGUUGUUUGUUUAUUUUUGGUGAGUGGGCUUUUUGUUUUGUUGGGGUGAUGGGAGGAAUGUACUUAACUCCUCUUAGUUUUGGUUAUAUUGAUUUAUAAUUGUUUGAUCCAUUUAUUUUGAUUGUAAGACUAAAUUACCUUAGGGAUAACAGCGUUAUCUUCCUUGAGAGUUCUUAUCGGCAGGGGGGUUUGCGACCUCGAUGUUGGAUUAAG
rnacentral:rRNA from 1 species